CUUAGAAAGGAUUCUCCACUCCGAGC
rnacentral:piRNA from 1 species